AGUCACUGACAUUAGAUACCCCUGUAGUCCCAGCCGUAAACAAUGUGCGUUAGGUGUGUCGGUAACCACGCGUUACUGAUGCGCCGAAGAGAAAUCGUGAAACGCACCACCUGGGAAGUACGGUCGCAAGGCUGAAACUUAAAGGAAUUGGCGGGGGAGCACCACAACAGGUGGAGCCUGCGGUUUAAUUGGAUUCAACGCCGGACAUCUCACCGAAUAAGACAGCUGAAUGAUUGUCAAUCUGAAGGUUUUACAUGACUAGCUG
rnacentral:rRNA from 1 species